rnacentral:lncRNA from 1 species
AGUCUGUCUCAGCGCCUUUUGCCACCCAGCGAUUGGAGACAGUUUUAAUUGCAGCAUGACAACCACAAGAAAGGACCAGAAGCCCCAUAAAAGCCAAAGCAAGCUGGCAGCUGUCCCACAGUGGAAAGCUAGCCAUGCCAUAAUUACAGGUAAAAAGACCUCUAGCACUGUAGCUCAGCACCAUGUUUAUUUGACACCAAUCAUGCAACUAUGCAGGUAUCCUAACAAUAACGUGCUCUGCCCCGACAGGACUGCGGUGCCUCUCAGGAAGACUUGGACAUCACCGGCAAUCAAGGUAUGCCUUGUUCUUCUCGUACGGGACACUCGGGGGAUAACAGCACCGGGACCUGAACCCCAGUCCGAACCACCGCAGGACGAGCCUCGGUUCGCCCCUCGGAUGCGACGGAUGAGACUGCAGCCUUGACCCAUGUGCCGAGCCGUUGGGCCGCCUGAUUGAAGUGCACCACACUUGAGAACAUCAGCGCCUUGCAUCCAUUGAAAUAAUAAGCUGACCCAGAGAGCUGCUCGCCUUUGAGCUGCAGCCAAGCCAUCUGAAUCCACUCUGCCCAAAUGAGGGCUUAUUUUUCAAAGCGUCUCCCCCUCAUGUGCGCCGGCCCGACCCUGCGCCCGUGUGCUGUGUGCGCUGCACUGCACCGUACGGGCCGCUUUGGGAACGGAGCAGAUCACGUCUGUGGCCGAACAGUUUGUUCGUGGUUACAGAGAAAGAGUUCGACGCAUGGAAGAGAGGAGAAACAUGUCAGUCAGCGGCGAAAUUCCAACACCUCACGAGGAGGGGGAAAGAGAAAGGAGGAGAGAGAAAGAACAGGGAGAGGGGAGAAAGACGUCACCACGCAAUCUGCUCCCUCAGCACAGCUCCUCAGAUGUGGUCUGGCACCUAGUUCACAAAGCCAACCAGAUCCACACAUUGACUUCAUAUAUCUCUGGAAAGGGGUGAGUGGAGGGCGUGUGAUGGGGAGGGCAGGAGGGGGAAAGAGAAAGUGGGAGCGGGUGACGGGGGGGGCGCCGGUGGUGGGGUGUGACGAAGAAAGGGAAGAGCGAGUCUUUUGUGUUUACUCACACCGAGUCGCUGCCAGAAAAACGCGAGACCACAUAAACGCUUGA